rnacentral:rRNA from 1 species
GACGAACGCUGGCGGCGUGCCUAAUACAUGCAAGUCGAACGGAGCGGCGGACGGGUGAGUAAUGCCUAGGAAUCUGCCUGGUAGUGGGGGAUAACGUCCGGAAACGGGCGCUACUCCCGCAUACUAUCAGAUGAGCCUAGUUCGGAUUAGCUAGUUGGUGGGGUAAAGGCCUACCAAGGCGACGAUCUGUAACUGGUCUGAGAGGAUGAUCAGUCACACUGGAACUGAGACACGGUCCAGACUCCUACGGGAGGCAGCAGUGGGGAAUAUUGGACAAUGGGCGAAAGCCUGAUCCAGCCAUGCCGCGUGUGUGAAGAAGGUCUUCGGAUUGUAAAGCACUUUAAGUUGGGAGGCGUUACCAACAGAAUAAGCACCGGCUAACUUCGUGCCAGCAGCCGCGGUAAUAC